CCUACGGGAGGCAGCAGUAGGGAAUUUUCGUCAAUGGGCGCAAGCCUGAACGAGCAAUGCCGCGUGCACGAGGAAGGUCUUCGGAUCGUAAAGUUCUGUUGAAGGGGAAAAAGAGCGGAGAGAGGAAAUGGUCUCCGAUUGAUAUUACCCUUCGAGGAAGUCACGGCUAACUACGUGCCAGCAGCCGCGGUAAUACGUAGGUGGCGAGCGUUAUCCGGAAUGAUUGGGCGGAAAGGGUGCGUAGGCGGCCUGCUAAGUCUGGAGUGAAAGGUACCGGCUCAACCGGUAUAGGCUCUGGAAACUAGCGGGCUAGAGAGCAGGAGAGGGCGGUGGAACUCCAUGUGUAGCGGUAAAAUGCGUAGAUAUAUGGAAGAACACCAGUGGCGAAGGCGGCCGCCUGGCCUGUUACUGACGCUGAGGCACGAAAGCGUGGGGAGCAAAUAGGAUUAGAUACCCUAGUAGUC
rnacentral:rRNA from 1 species